GGGUGUGGGGCCCUGUGGAUAUGCCUUUCUUUAGAGCUCCUAUUGCUUCUGGGUCUUGGGUGUGAGAAGACGCAGAGUGGGAGACCUUGAAACUGUCUGAUCUGGCUGCUAACGCAAGUGUCUGGAGACCACCCGUUAACCCCGCAAGUCGAGUUUGCUCACAGCUGUAGGAGAAGAAGCCUGGAAUGGUACCCCCUCCGCCAGGAGAAGAAAGCCAGACUGUCGUCCUUCCACCUGGCUGGCAGAGCUACCUGUCCCCUCAGGGCCGGCGCUACUAUGUCAACACGACCACCAAUGAGACCACCUGGGAACGUCCCAGCAGUUCUCCUGGGAUUCCAGCCAGCCCUGGCCCUCACAGGAGCUCUCUGCCUCCAACAGGUACUGUCCGCGCACGGUUCGGGGCCCCCGGGAGGCUCCCACACCCACCUGCUAUGGGAAGGCCGGGACUCUGGGUCCUGGAGCCUGAAACCCGGCCCAGGAUCCUACAGCGUGAGCUUGGGAGAGGCUGGGCCUAGGCCUGCUGCCCAGCGGGUUGGCACCCCCCGGCAGUGCCCACAGCAGCUCUGGUGGCCGCAGGCUCUCUCCUACUCAGGUGCCCGGGGAGAGGAGAUGGCUGGGAAGAUGCCACAGCUCUUCCCUGUCUGGCAGGGCCAGGAGGGCCCGAAGCAGGGACAGAAAUGCUCCCUGUGGCUCUUAUAGAGGGCCAAGGAGUAGAAGCUGAAGGGAGGCAGAUUUCCAUAGGGCAGGUUUUGAACAGAACGUCCAGGGAGGAAAUGGGAUUCCUUGUGAGGGUAUGAGUUCUCUGUCUGCAGAGGUAACCAAGCGGAGGCAGCUGAGGUAGGAAUUCCCGUGAUAGGCGGGGAGUUUGUCCAGGGGGCUCCUGGGAGACAUCUGGUUCUGAGUCCAGGAGACAGGCUGCGGGACACGUUAGAGGAGAGAACACCAUCUGAGUGCUCGUGGUUUGGACCUGUCCUAAAUGUCACCUCCUCCAAAAGGCUUCCCUGACCACUCAGUUAAGAGCCUUUGUCCAGUCACUCCAGAUCACAGCCACAUGCUGUUUUGUUGCUGCUCGUUGACAGCCUACUCUCCCGUGCUAGGUGGUAAUCUCCCUGAGGGUGGGGACGUCGUCUCUCUUUUUCUUUUGUGGAAUCUUCCAUUGCAGACAGAGCCUGGCUUCCGUGUGGAGUGGAUUCACCAAUAUCUCCACCGUCGUACGGUGUGGAAACCCAGUUGUUGGUUUUCAACUUUCGGAGGCAGGCUGGUGGCAGGGCACCAGAGUCCGGGUUGUGGUUGGGAUGGGGAUGAAAUCCGUAAUGGCUUGAGGAUGCGACAGGGGCUCGUAGCUGGACGGGGGUGGAGAGGCGGAAGGCACAGUGACAUCCUCAGCGUCCGUCAAAUUCUAGGGGCGAAAGCAGUCAGAGGUCUAAAUAGUUUACCUAAGCCCCUUGCGGGCAGGGACCUGGGCGUUUGCUCCUGGUUUCUAGGGCGGCAUGAACACUCCGCUCUCAGACCAAGUCCCCAGAAAUCUGCGCGUUCAGCACCGCAGUGACAGCAGGCAAGCUGGCAGUUCACGCUGCCUUCUCUUUCUUUACGGUGCCUGUGGUUUUUUAACAAUGGAAAUGCCUGGCGGAAUAAUGUGAGGUGUGGCCCUCCU